rnacentral:rRNA from 1 species
UGGGGAAUAUUGGGCAAUGGGCGCAAGCCUGACCCAGCAACGCCGCGUGAAGGAUGAAGGUUUUCGGAUUGUAAACUUCUGUCGCGAGGGACGAAGAAUGACGGUACCUCGUAAGAAAGCCCCGGCUAACUACGUGCCAGCAGCCGCGGUAAUACGUAGGGGGCAAGCGUUGUCCGGAAUGACUGGGCGUAAAGGGAGUGUAGGCGGCUCAUCAAGUUAGAUGUGAAAUCCCGCGGCUUAACCGCGGAACUGCAUCUAAAACUGGUAAGCUGGAGUGCAGGAGAGGUGAGUGGAAUUCCUAGUGUAGCGGUGGAAUGCGUAGAUAUUAGGAGGAACACCAGAGGCGAAGGCGACUCACUGGACUGUAACUGACGCUGAGGCUCGAAAGCGUGGGGAGCAAACAGG